rnacentral:lncRNA from 1 species
GAGUACACAUUAAUCUGAGCUCCCUCAGCCCUAGGGGUAGGGGGAUUGGGGGCACAAGAUGGGUGGAGCCAGAUAGGGAAGAUUCCCCCAGUGUUGUCCUGCUCCCAGUCCAGGUUUGGGACAAUGCCGGCAGCGUUUCCCUGUGUCUUUCCCCCACAAAGUCUCCAAGUCUUUCCUCAAAUGAUCGUCAAGGUUUGGGAGAAACAAUCUCUUCCUCUGCCCGGGUUGCGUGGAUCUCCAGUGGAAAGGAAGAACCGGAACUAUGGUUUGUGCCUGCCUUAUUGCCUCCAAAAUAUUUUUAACUGCAGAGAUAUGUUGGAUAUUUUGCACAAGUGAAACAUCUGUACAACUGGAAUCUCCCUCCAAGACGGAUACUCUUUAUAAAAAGAUUCAUUAUUUAUUCAAUUCGUGAGAGAAAUUUAGAUAUUUUAUUAAACUUGGAAGUCAUUAAUGCCAUAUAAAGCAAUGCUAAGAGAGUCAGCAUGUGUUACUGAUGUGUUGCUGAAGAUUAAAGUAUUUUUAAGUCUCACCAAAAAGGUGGAAGGAGCCAACCGAGACACAAAAAAGGAGCUGGGGUUCUAUUCAUGGCUUUAUCUACCAAGAAAUGAAUUGGAUAAUCCACAUAAACAAAAAGCUUGGAAAAUUUAUCCACCAGAAUUUGCCGUGGAGAUACUUUUUGGUAUGGUUUCUGUGGAUUCUCUGCUCUUUGUGCUCUCCUCCCCACAUUGGUGGCUCCAUCUGGCACAGGGAAGCUUCUGGAUGUCAGAAGGUGGAUUCUCACUCUGUCACCCAGGCUGGAGUGUAGUGGCACAAUCUUUGCUCACUUCAACCUCUGCCUUCUGCGUUCGAGCAAUUCUCCUGCCUCAGCCUCCCGAGUAACUGGGAUUACAGGGACAGUAAGUGGUGUUUCCUGGGAGAUGCUACGGUGUUAUUUUUGCACUACAAGGGCUCUGAAGACUGCCAGGCUUGAAGUGAAGAACCACGUCACCUGCCUAUCCCAGCCAGGUGACAGUGGACAAGGGGCUUCACCUCUGAGCUGUUUUCCAGCUGUACUGGGCACAUUCCUCCUCUCACCCUGACUCACAAGGUGUUAGCAAUAAUGGACACUCCUCUAUCUUCUGCCACACUCUGAACAAUACUUCACUUCCAUCAAAUGGAUUCAUCCCAAAGAUCCCCUACAAAAGACCAUGUUUCUUCUCAGCUUGCUCAGUCCAGCUGAGCCAGCUUUCCACUGGACUCCUGAAUGUGAGAAGGACACAGGCUCCCAGGACUAUCCAGAAGCAUGCCUCAUCACCAUAAAGCUCUGAAACACCGGCUGGGUGCAGAGGCUCACACCCGUAAUCCCAACACAUUCAGAGGCUGAGUUCCUUUCUGCAGAGGCACCUGCUGUCACUUGCUCCUCACGAAUUCUGCUAGAGCUACACUAUGUGUAGACAUAUGGCAGCGUGCUCCUCAGCCUCUUCCGUGCUGGUUUGUCCACUGAAUUUAUCUUGGCGAUUUUUCCUCGUGAUUACAUGUAGAGCUGCCUCAUUAUCUACAGUAGCUGGGAUGCACAUUUCACAUGUUUAUGUACACUGACUUCCAAAAGGUUGCACUUACAGUAUGUGAGUUUCUAAAAAGGAGAGACCAUGUUGGCAGUUCUCCACACAGAAGACAAACUGAGAAGGGAGAGCGGGCACGAAUUACUCAUCUGUCCACAGAGAUGGUGAGACAGCUCAGUGUGGGAAGCUGUAUAAGGGAAGUAUAUACAAUUCUACCUGAAUUGGAAGUAAACAGGGACAUUGCAUUUCUGGUAUUCAGCUGGAGUUGAACACGCUUCACAGAUGAGGCUCACUAUGGCCAAGUCCCAGGGCUGAGGUCCAGGGAGGGGCAGGCUGAGUCAGCCCAUCAAUUCAUCAACAGAGGGAACAGGAGAGGACAGGGGCAGGCCAGCCUGGAACCUAGAGCCUUUGGAUUUCUAUUUUUACUUCUUACAACGAGGUGGUUUAAAAAAAGAGGAGGGGGCCAGGCACGGUGGUUCAUGCCUGUAUUCCCGGCCCUUUGGGAGGCCGAGACAGGCGGAUGACAUGAGGUCAGGAGUUUAAGACCAGCCUGGCCAACAUGGCAAAAAUCCUGUCUCUACUAAAAGUACAAAAAUUAGCCAGGCGUGGUGGCAGGCACCUAUAAUCCCAGCCACUCAGGAGGCUGAGGCAGGAGAAUUGCUUGAACUCAGGAGGCGGAAGUUGCAGUGAGCUGAGAUCGCACCACUGCACUCCAGCCUGGGCAACAGAGUGAGACUCCAUCUAAAAAAAAAAAAAGAAGAAGAGGUUAGACUUAACUGUUUCCAAGAUUUCAUCCAGUUGUGAAAUCCUGUUAUCUGAACUGCCAGGCCUACAAGUUCAAUUCAAAAGAUGGAAUGUAGCUUCCUGCAGUCUUUAAAUGAACAAAACAAACAGCACAAGCUACACUGCGAAGAUGAGUCUGCACUACAUAUCUUUCUUUUUGCCCCCAGGAACCUGGCUUACCAGUAUAUCACCCCAGCGUUGACACACUGGUGAGUGACGACAGUGCGCUUUUUGCAAAUCCUGUGCACUAUGACUUUUUUCCUUCAAGAAUAGAUUUGACUGGUCUGAAAUUCUAUUUUCAUAUUUGGCUGUGCUCUAGUAAUAUCCUGCCUCACUGGACAUGUGGAAUUGUCCUGCGGUUCAGGGAACAGGGAGAGAACAGGGCUGGUCCUCCUCUGCCUCUGGGGGCCCAGCCUCCCAACCGGCCAAGUCACAGUCUCUCCUGAUGAGCUUCCAGUAGCUCACUCUCUCCUGCUGCUAAUCUCUGUUUCCUCUUCUAACCAUGACCCUGUUGUUCCCUGAAUGCGCGAUGUUUUAUCACACUGUAGUUUAUGACAUUUGGAAAUACCUGAGGAUUUAAUGAAAAGGAAAACUUUCCGCCAUUUUCCUUAAUGUCAGUUUGUAGCUUUUUCUUCUGCUGCCGAGGUAAGUACUUCACUUUCAAACAGAAGAUACAAUUUGCAAAGAUUCCCAUCACC